GACGUAGGGCGCGAGCGUUGUCCGGAUUUAUUGGGCGUAAAGAGCUCGUAGGCGGCUUGUCGCGUCGACUGUGAAAUCCCGCGGCUCAACUGCGGGUCUGCAGCCGAUACGGGCAGGCUAGAGUUCGGUAGGGGAGACUGGAAUUCCUGGUGUAGCGGUGAAAUGCGCAGAUAUCAGGAGGAACACCGGUGGCGAAGGCGGGUCUCUGGGCCGAAACUGACGCUGAGGAGCGAAAGCGUGGGGAGCAAACAGG
rnacentral:rRNA from 1 species